rnacentral:lncRNA from 1 species
UCUACGUGUUACCCAGGUACAAGGCCCCAUCGAUACAGAAAGCAAUGGCAUAGUUCAAGGGCAUGGAAUAAAUUCAAGGUGACCAUUACUGCCGCACAUUCCGUAGCUAUUGUGAUAUUUAUUGGUACAUAGUUUGACAACCCGCAUUGACUGAUUCCUCUAUGAUGCAAAAAUAGGGUUGUCCUUUAGAAACUGAAAUUUCGGAUUGGGAUGAGAAUGCUUUCAUAUAUAUGCUCAGCCCCUUGACCUGUUUUUUUAGAAUUUUCACAAUGUUUUGACAGUAUUCAACUAGGUCAUGAACUGUUUAUCAUGAUUAUUAUUUAUUUGUUUACACCUGCAUCAUAAAAGAUAAGAAGAGCUUCAAGUGCAAGAUAAGUGAUAAUACUCAAGAACUUACAAAAAAAAAUAUAAAGAAAUCAUAAACUAUAUAUAUCUUAAAAGUAUAUCAAAAAUAAAAAUCCUAAUUGAACCCUAAUCAAAUCCUAAUGUAAUCUUCAACAAAUUCUAAUAAAACUCUAAAUCAAUCUCAAUCUAAUCUUAAUAAAAUCCUAAAUUAUAAAUAAAUCCUAAUCAAAUCUUAAAAAAUCUUAAUCAAAUUCUAGACAAAUUCUAAAUCUUAACCUUAAUCUAAAUCUUAAUCAAACUCUAAAUCCUAAUCUUCUACUAAACCCCAAUGAAAUCCUAAAUUCUAAACAAAUCCUAUCAAAUCCUAAAUAAAUUUUAAUUAAAAUUUAAAUAAACCUUAAUCAAAUCUUAGA